CACGUAGGGUGCGAGCGUUGUCCGGAAUUAUUGGGCGUAAAGAGCUCGUAGGCGGUGUGUCGCGUCGGCCGUGAAAACCUGCAGCUUAACUGUGGGCUUGCGGUCGAUACGGGCAUCACUGGAGGUUCGGCAGGGGAGACUGGAAUUCCUGGUGUAGGCGGUGAAAAUGCGCAGAUAUCAGGAGGAACACCGGUGGCGAAGGCGGGAUCUCUGGGCCGAUACUGACGCUGAGGAGCGAAAGCGUGGGGAGCGAACAGG
rnacentral:rRNA from 1 species